AUUGAACGCUGGCGGCAGGCCUAACACAUGCAAGUCGAACGAGUGGCGGACGGGUGAGUAAUGUCUGGGAAACUGCCCGAUGGAGGGGGAUAACUACUGGCAACGGUAGCUACUACCGCAUACCAUCGGAUGUGCCCAGAUGGGAUUAGCUAGUAGGUGGGGUAACGGCUCACCUAGGCGACGAUCCCUAGCUGGUCUGAGAGGAUGACAAGCCACACUGGAACUGAGACACGGUCCAGACUCCUACGGGAGGCAGCAGUGGGGAAUAUUGGACAAUGGGCGAAAGCCUGAUGCAGCCAUGCCGCGUGUAUGAAGAAGGUCGUCGGGUUGUAAAGUACUUUCAGUGGGGAGGCGUUACCAACAGAAGAAGCACCGGCUAACUACGUGCCAGCAGCCGCGGUAAGUC
rnacentral:rRNA from 1 species